UAGCAACCUCUUUGGUAGUAAUGGAACUCAUAGGACAAGUCGAUUUACGGCAGGUACUGCUUGGGUGUUCGUGAGAGUUAUCACGAUGGUAAAGAUGUUGUUAAUCUUACUCUUGCAAUAUUAAUUUGGAUCGUCGUAAAAUGCACAUGCAUCCCCAUUGCCAAUUAUUUUAUUUAAAUGGAUGGCAUCGUCUGCUGGAAAUGGGAGAGAACAAAAGUACUACGAAUACUCGAAGAUGGACACAUCUCUGGAGAGAAGGAAUGGUGACGUUUAGGAUCGAGACCCUUCUUUUCUUCAGAUUGGGGAGAGUCUAGGGGAAAGGGAACCGAGAGAUAUAGACGGUGAUAUGGAGAGAUACUCAGCAGAUGCCAUCUUUGAGCAACAACGAUGAGCUGGCCUACAGGGAGGAGGUCCAGCACUUAGCAGCAUGGUGCGCUGACAACAACCUGGCCCUUAACUCCAAGAAGACCAAGGAGCUCAUUGUAGACUUCAGGAAGUCCAGAGGCGGCACGCACACCCCCAUCCACAUUAACGGGACGGAGGUGGAACGUGUUUCUAGCUUCAGGUUCCUGGGAGUCAACAUCUCCGAUGACCUCUCUUGGACCCACAAUACCUCUACUCUGAUCAAGAAGGCUCAUCAGCGUGUCUUCUUCCUGAGGAGACUGAAGAAGGUCCAUCUGUCUCCUCAGAUCCUGGUGAACUUCUACCGCUGCACCAUCGAGAGCAUCCUUACCAACUGCAUCGCAGUAUGGUAUGGCAACUGCUCUGUCUCCGACCGGAAGGCAUUGCAGAGGGUGGUGAAAAUUGCCCAACGCAUCACCGGUUCCAUGCUCCCCUCCAUUGAGUCUGUCCAAAGCAAGCGCUGUCUGCGGAGGGCGCUCAGCAUCGCCAAGGACUGCUCUCACCCCAACCAUGGACUGUUUACCCUCCUACCAUCCGGGAGGCGCUACAGGUCUCUCCGUUGCCGAACCAGCAGGUCGAGGAACAGCUUCUUUCCGGCGGCUGUCACUCUACUCAACAACGUACCUCGGUGACUGCCAAUCACCACCCCACCCCGAUAUUAUUUUUUUAUUCAAAUCGUUUGCUAUGUCGCUCUUCAAGGGAGAUGCUAAAUGCAUUUCGUUGUCUCUGUACUGUACACUGACAAUGACAAUUAAAAUUGAAUCUGAAUCUGAAUCUGAACUCGGAACUACCUAACUCAUUGCUGGUGCACAUAUUUGAAUAGCACAUUCAUCCCUUUAAUCUCACGCCUCGACCCAAAUUUUGAGCAAUUGGGUAAUGCAAGGAUAAAGAUUCCCUUUCCAGCGAUUCUUAAGUAAUUUGACUUAUUUUGCAGAGGUAACUACAAUCCACAGAUUAACUGGUGCUGUAGGAUGGAGACAAGUAAUAGUGCACCUAGAUCAACUAUAAAUAAGAUACAAGGUCCAUUGAAUAUUGGGAGGAAAACCGCACUAGUAAGAAAAAUUUUGACAUCACGCACAUUUCAGUCAAAGAAAGGGUGCAAAGGCUAUA